rnacentral:rRNA from 1 species
AGCAGCCGCGGUAAUUCCAGCUCCAAUAGCGUAUAUUAAAGUUGUUGCAGUUAAAAAGCUCGUAGUUGAAUUUCGGGGUUAGUAGGUUGGUCAUGCCUCUGGUAUGUACUGGUCUCACUGAUUCCUCCUUCCUGAUGAGCCGUAAUGCCAUUAAUUUGGUGUUGCGGGGAAUUUGGACUGUUACUUUGAAAAAAUUAGAGUGUUUAAAGCAAGCUAACGCUUGAAUACAUUAGCAUGGAAUAAUGAAAUAGGACGUUCGAUCCUAUUUUGUUGGUUUCUAGGAUUGACGUAAUGAUUAAUAGGGAUAGUUGGGGGCAUUAGUAUUCAAUUGUCAGAGGUGAAAUUCUUGGAUUUAUUGAAGACUAACUACUGCGAAAGCAUUUGCCAAGGAUGUUUUCAUUAAUCAAGAA